UGCCGGGUCUUCUAAUGGCAGGAAAGUGGACUCUGAAUCCAUUAAUCUAGGUUCGAAUCCUAGCCCGGCAACUA
rnacentral:tRNA from 1 species